AACUGAAAGACUAAACGUUACGAGGAUAUAUAGAGGGUUGUUGACCCACCCUGGUUUUGAUUCGCCAAAAAGUCAAAAGGGAUGAAAAGGGCCAGGUCAGACUUUUCUAUAGGUCCAAUUUAAGGUCAGUUUCCCUCGAGCGAAAAGAGUGGGAUUUGAUUCUCCAUUAGAAGCAGUUCCAUUCCUAUUCCCUGGGAUUACUCCUAGUAUGAGUAGUUUAUUCUUUUAUUUCUUCUGUCUUUUCUUCCUUUUCUCGGCCAGCCUUGAAAGUUCUCUUCCAGAA
rnacentral:lncRNA from 1 species